AGAGUUUGAUCCUGGCUCAGAACGAACGCUGGCGGCAUGCCUAACACAUGCAAGUCGAACGAGACCUUCGGGGUCUAGUGGCGCACGGGUGCGUAACGCGUGGGAACCUGCCUUUAGGUUCGGAAUAACUCAGAGAAACUUGAGCUAAUACCGGAUAAUGUCUUCGGACCAAAGAUUUAUCGCCUUUAGAUGGGCCCGCGUAAGAUUAGCUAGUUGGUGGGGUAAAGGCCUACCAAGGCGACGAUCUUUAGCUGGUCUGAGAGGAUGAUCAGCCACACUGGGACUGAGACACGGCCCAGACUCCUACGGGAGGCAGCAGUGGGGAAUAUUGGACAAUGGGCGAAAGCCUGAUCCAGCAAUGCCGCGUGAGUGAUGAAGGCCUUAGGGUUGUAAAGCUCUUUACCCGAGAUGAUAAUGACAGUAUCGGGAGAAUAAGCUCCGGCUAACUCCGUG
rnacentral:rRNA from 1 species